UAGGAAUAGCAGAUGGGACAUUCCUCCGAACGGCGAAUCUGGAAGUGUGCGUCCUAAUUUCCAUGGGUUUCUUCGCAAUCGUGCUCGUUCUUCCACUUGGAAGCGCGACAGCGGAUCGGCUCAACUGGACAGUAGCAAUAAUGUGUGCACAAGCCGAUGCAAAAAUUUGGGGAGCAUGUCUUUUGAAGCUAGCACUGAACAUUUAUCAGUUAUGGCAUUUCGUCAGCACGAAGGAGGAAGCUAUGAUCCCUCGACCCUGAGCACACCUUCGCCGUCUGUCAGUGAGGGUACAGUUGGAUCCCGUCAGGGGGCUUUCUCUCCUCCUGGCAUUGAUCGCCUCCAUCACAAGGGUCUGCAUGUUCAUGGUAGCAUUUGUAGCCCUACAGCUCAAGUCACAAUGGAAAAUCAAGAUGACUCUAGUACACUGGAUAUCAACAAGAAUCAGUCUGGACAUAACAUGGAGUUGGAUGAUGAUGCAGAUAGGAACUUAGCGCAAUCCUUUUCUCGGGCAGCGGCGCAUGGCCCUAACGCGCCUCGGGCGCCAUGAAAGCCAUAGCUUGGAAUUGCCGAGGUAUGGGCCGGGGCCUCGGUAGCGAUCGAAUGUUGUUCCUAACAAAUCUGAUCCGUUCUACGAAAGCUCAGAGGUGCUUCAGGAGGGCUCUGGCUUAUGUGGAAUGAUGAUCUUAAAAUCUCUGUUCAUAGUUCCUCCUUUCACUUUAUCCUAGCCAAUGUAGUUCAUCUAGCCUCGGGGGUUCACUUUUGUUUGAUAUGUAUAUAUGGUGAUCCUUAUCAUAGGCAGACUAGUGCCAUUUGGAAUCAGGUUUCCACUUUUGUGUAUGAUAACCUCGGAAAACCCAUGAUCUGUAUGGGAGACCUUAAUGAUAUUUUGUAUGAUACAGAUGGCUGUAAUGGUAGUGUAAAUUAUUUUCGU